rnacentral:rRNA from 1 species
GAUGAACGCUAGCGGCAGGCUUAAUACAUGCAAGUCGAGGGGCAGCACGGUUAGCAAUGACUGGUGGCGACCGGCGCACGGGUGCGUAACACGUAUACAAUCUACCUUAAACAGGGGGAUAGCCUUUCGAAAGAGAGAUUAAUACCCCGUAAUAAAUUGAACGGCAUCGUUUGAUUUUGAAAGCUCCGGCGGUUUGAGAUGAGUAUGCGUCUGAUUAGCUAGUUGGUGAGGUAACGGCUCACCAAGGCGACGAUCAGUAGGGGAUCUGAGAGGACUAACCCCCACACUGGUACUGAGACACGGACCAGACUCCUACGGGAGGCAGCAGUAAGGAAUAUUGGUCAAUGGAGGCAACUCUGAACCAGCCAUGCCGCUGCAGGAUGACGGCCCCUAUGGGUUGUAAACUGCUUUUAUACAAGAGAAAACCCUGGUACGUGUACCAGGUUGAUAGUAUUGUAAGAAUAAGCAUCGGCUAAC